UUCUUUCUUUCUUUUUUUUUUUGUUUUGAUUGCUGAUGGUGUGGACUUAUGGUCAUAUGUGUCCAUUUACAUUUGUAUCAGUUUUUCAAUGAUUGUAACAUCAACCUGCCCAGGGACUACUGGUGGAAAUUAGCAUUUUUGCUAUAACCAGGUACAUUGCAUCUUUCCUUUUGGUCAAUGUAAAAUUGUACGCUGUCCCUGUAUAAAUAAAUGCAUACCAUACCAUACCAUACCAUACCCGUCAGGACCAAGUACCCCUGACUGCAGCCCGCAGAUCGGGGCGUGCCUCAACGUGGGCGGAGUUAAACGUUGAGCUCCGCCCACCUUGAACUAAACGUGGGCGGAGUUAAACGUUUAACUCCGCCCGCAUAGCGCAGUUGAACCGUUGAAGAAGAAGAAGAAUGUAUUAUAGAAGAAGAAGAAGUUUCCAAAAUGGAGGACAAUGCAGCCAGUCUCCAGUGGGUUCUGCUUCCUAUUUGUACCUGGACACUGGAUACUCUGCACAUUGCUCACAUCUCCUGGCCCUUGGAGGCAGCUUGGUGUGAAUGAUGUUCAGGAAAACAUGCUGCAGAUUAGAAGAUGGUGGUGUCUUGUUCUCCUGCAGAACUUCCCCAUGCUAUCUGAAGAAGAGAGAUUGCAGCAAAGAAAAAGGCAACAAGAGCAGAAAAAACUACAGUAUGUGGCUGAAGUCCCCCUGAAAAUGUUUAGGCUUUCAGAAUCUGCCACUGAAGCAUCAGGUAUUGUUCCAGCCAGCAUUGUCUCACACAUAUCCAUCAAGGUUGUUGAGGUUCGAUGUCACAGAGCAGUCAUUAUUUCUCUGUGUACUUAAAAUCAACCACUUAAAUCUUGCAUUGUCAUUGUGCCUGUAGACACCACAAUCUGUUUCCUUUCUAGAUGAGGCUGAGAACAGGACUGGGAACAGGAAACGGGGUAUAUUGCCUGAGAUGGGUAGUCUAAUUUCAGUGUUUUCUGCAAUCUCCGAGCCUUUACUUAAAUAACUGUUUUCUUUAUUUUUGUUUAGGAGAAUCCUUUGAUCAGGGAUGCAAUGGCAGCAGCCCGGUGGUGUGGGACCAGAACUUUCAAGGGAAAAAUUUCCCUUCCCCAAGUUGUUACCAUGGCCAAGGAGCAACGCGUGAGGGCAGGGAACUCCUGUGUGUCUGUGAUGGCCAGGAAGAAGAGGAGACCGCUGAUCUCAGAGAACCGUUCCUUUUUCUUUUUAGUCUGCAGGAAGACUAUGAGACAUUCUGUCAAGAAAUCAUUGACAGGAGAAACAUGAAGGUGUUUUGUGCUUUUGACAGAAAAGAAUAAAGUUGUGUUCAACGGUG